AGAAGCAGAGGGGGCUUAGUGGUGGGGUGACUGCGUACCUUUUGUAUAAUGGGUCAGCGACUUAUAUUCUGUAGCAAGGUUAACCGAAUAGGGGAGCCGGAGGGAAACCGAGUCUUAAUUGGGCGUUAAGUUGCAGGGUAUAGACCCGAAACCCGGUGAUCUAGCCAUGGGCAGGUUGAAGGUUGGGUAACACUAACUGGAGGACCGAACCGACUAAUGUUGAAAAAUUAGCGGAUGACCUGUGGCUGGGGGUGAAAGGCCAAUCAAACCGGGAGAUAGCUGGUUCUCCCCGAAAGCUAUUUAGGUAGCGCCUCGUGAAUUCAUCUCCGGGGGUAGAGCACUGUUUCGGCUAGGGGGCCAUCCCGGCUUACCAACCCGAUGCAAACUGCGAAUACCGGAGAAUGUUAUCACGGGAGACACACGGCGGGUGCUAACGUCCGUCGUGAAGAGGGAAACAACCCAGACCGCCAGCUAAGGUCCCAAAGUCAUGGUUAAGUGGGAAACGAUGUGGGAAGGCCCAGACAGCCAGGAUGUUGGCUUAGAAGCAGCCAUCAUUUAAAGAAAGCGUAAUAGCUCACUGGUCGAGUCGGCCUGCGCGGAAGAUGUAACGGGGCUAAACCAUGCACCGAAGCUGCGGCAGCGACGCUUAUGCGUUGUUGGGUAGGGGAGCGUUCUGUAAGCCUGUGAAGGUGUGUCGUGAGGCAUGCUGGAGGUAUCAGAAGUGCGAAUGCUGACAUAAGUAACGAUAAAGCGGGUGAAAAGCCCGCUCGCCGGAAGACCAAGGGUUCCUGUCCAACGUUAAUCGGGGCAGGGUGAGUCGACCCCUAAGGCGAGGCCGAAAGGCGUAGUCGAUGGGAAACGGGUUAAUAUUCCCGUACUUGGUGUUACUGCGAAGGGGGGACGGAGAAGGCUAUGUUGGCCGGGCGACGGUUGUCCCGGUUUAAGCGUGUAGGUGUGUGUUCCAGGUAAAUCCGGUUCACUUUAACACUGAGGCGUGAUGACGAGGCACUACGGUGCUGAAGUAACAAAUGCCCUGCUUCCAGGAAAAGCCUCUAAGCAUCAGGUAACAUCAAAUCGUACCCCAAACCGACACAGGUGGUCAGGUAGAGAAUACCAAGGCGCUUGAGAGAACUCGGGUGAAGGAACUAGGCAAAAUGGUGCCGUAACUUCGGGAGAAGGCACGCUGACACGUAGGUGAAGUGAUUUACUCAUGGAGCUGAAGUCAGUCGAAGAUACCAGCUGGCUGCAACUGUUUAUUAAAAACACAGCACUGUGCAAACACGAAAGUGGACGUAUACGGUGUGACGCCUGCCCGGUGCCGGAAGGUUAAUUGAUGGGGUCAGCGCAAGCGAAGCUCCUGAUCGAAGCCCCGGUAAACGGCGGCCGUAACUAUAACGGUCCUAAGGUAGCGAAAUUCCUUGUCGGGUAAGUUCCGACCUGCACGAAUGGCGUAAUGAUGGCCAGGCUGUCUCCACCCGAGACUCAGUGAAAUUGAACUCGCUGUGAAGAUGCAGUGUACCCGCGGCAAGACGGAAAGACCCCGUGAACCUUUACUAUAGCUUGACACUGAACAUUGAGCCUUGAUGUGUAG
rnacentral:rRNA from 1 species